CCUACGGGAGGCUGCAGUGAGGAAUAUUGGUCAAUGGCCGUAAUGCUGAACCAGCCAAGUCGCGUGCAGGACGACGGAUCUAUGGUUUGUAAACUUCUUUUAUACGGGAGUAAAAUUCUCCACGUGUGGGUUUUUGCAUGUACCCUAUGAAUAAGGAUCGGCUAACUCCGUGCCAGCAGCCGCGGUAAUACGGAGGAUUCGAGCGUUAUCCGGAUUUAUUGGGUUUAAAGGGUGCGUAGGUUGUUUUUUAAGUUAGCGGUGAAAUUUUGUGGCUCAACCAUAGAGCUGCCGCUAAUACUGGAAGACGAGAGAGCGGUUGCGGUAGGCGGAAUGCGUGGUGUAGCGGUGAAAUGCAUAGAUAUCACACAGAACACCGAUUGCGAAGGCAGCUUACUAGGCCGGAACUGACACUGAUGCACGAAAGCGUGGGGAUCGAACAGGAUUAGAUACCCUUGUAGUC
rnacentral:rRNA from 1 species